CCGGGGCGGGGCGGCGCGCGCAGCCGGGCGCGGCGGCGACGCGGUGGGCCUGAGCUGCGGGAAGGCACCGGGGCGGGGCGGCGCGCGCGGCCGGGCGCGGCGGCGACGCGGCGGGAGCUGUGGGAAGGCACCGGGCAUGGCGAGAGAGAAAGCGGACGGAGAGAGAGGGAAGGUGGGGGCUCUGCGAGGAGAAAGUGGUGAAAGCGACGGGGGAGUGGCUGCAGGUGGGCCACAGGAGGCAAAAAAGUGGCGCCGGCACGCCCAGCUGCCCCCCGGGGGGCUGGGUUCGUGGUGGGACUACCGGCGCUAUUUUUCUAUAAAGCCGGUGAAAAGUGACGCUUUGGGAGCGGGAGUGGGAGGAUUUUUUGCCACCGAUGCUAAAAAAGUGGCCUGGGGGCGUUCCUGGGGGCUCGGCUGGAGAUGCUCUAAGAUGUUGUGUUCAGUCCAGCGCCGUGCCUACGGCACAAAUUCGUUGGCCUCAACAACGCUCCCGGCGCCGUGGAUGCACCCACCAGCAAGCUCAGGCCAAGGGAUACAUGAUAUCGUGUGCUUGUACUAAAAAAGGUGUUCUGCCAUCCCAUCGAUUCUAGCACAGCUCGAAGCGGCCAAGUCAAGGAGGACCUAUAAAAUUAUUUGAUCGUCUCUCUCUCUAUAUAUAUGUGUUGUCUGGUGCAUGUAUGGCUGAGAAUAGGGAGAGAGAGCAAGUUUAAUUUUCAUUAGGCAUUCAAAUUCUUAUUUUGCUUUUCUCAGAUUUUUGGCUGGGUGUUUAAAUAUACUUGCACACACUGGUUUCAGAUUUCAGUGUAAACUACAAAUAGGGGGCAAAUUAUAGUGAUUUUUCCAAAUUAGAAAUAGGGAGAAGGGAAAUUAUUGAUUAUUGUGUGCAUGUAUAACUAAUUGGAUUACUGGUUGAACGAGUGCAGAUUUGAGAAAGAAGAAAUAGGGCCAAUAAAAUUAGGUGGGAGGUAUGCUGAUGGGUUCAUUUUAGCAUCCUGAAGGUAUGAUGCAUAUUGCCUUGCUCUGAUUUGCUUAUUUGAAUGUGUUUGUGUACAUGAAAGUUCAUUUCGUUAUUUUUGCUCUUUGAGGGAUAUAGGAGGAGAGAUAUCUAUUGUUGAAAUUUGAUGAUAAAAAUAUAGCCAUUAUUGUUACAAGCAUUGUUGUUCCAGUUUUUUUAGUUAUUAAUCAUGCCAUUUUUCUUUCUGCCUUUGUAGCUGAAAGAUUAGUGAGACUGACUAAAUUCUGAACAUGUUCCAUGUGAGAAAUAGCAUGUUGAUUUCAUCUUGAAAUAAUCAUAGAUGAGGGACGAGGUUCAUAAUUGAGGGUCAUGUGCAGAGCUGGAGGAAGAAGUUGCGAGGCUUGAAACUCUCCUUGUGAACAGCACUGAGGACAAUGCCUCUUUAGUUGUAAUUGUGAUACUCCUGAUGUGCAAGUAAACACUCCUGUGGUACUCCUUAUGCUAAAAUGUUGGUUGUUAGUAUAGAGGUGGUGACAUUAUUUGGUUCUCUGGUAUUGAUUUAAUGAUUUGUGGUUAAUACAUGAUGUAAUACAGUCCACAUUGUAUUAUAUUUUCAGUUACAUCUCCUA